ACUAGUCUCCUAGAUCAGCGGUUAGCAUCUCUCUAGCAGCCCUAGCAUUAGAUUCAUGACAUAUAUUGCAUGACACAUGCAGAUUCCUAGGUUCAUGUUCUAGCUAGCAAGGCUAAAACAAGCAUUAAGAACAAUCAAUCAAUGAAUAUCACAACUUAGCAAUCUAUAGUUGGGGCUAAUCCCUCUAACCUAUUUGAACCCUGAAUCUAACAAGUGAACUACUCAGACAUAGCUAAGCAAUUCAUGAUACAAAAUGUAGAUAAUAACUGCAUAGAAAAGAAUAGAUGAAUCAAUGGAGUUCCAAUCACAAAUCUCUC
rnacentral:lncRNA from 1 species